AUUGAACGCUGGCGGCAGGCCUAACACAUGCAAGUCGAACGAGAGGCGGACGGGUGAGUAAUGUCUGGGAAACUGCCCGAUGGAGGGGGAGAACUACCGGAAACGGUAGCUAAUACCGCAUACCCUCGGAUGUGCCCAGAUGGGAUUAGCUUGUAGGUGAGGUAACGGCUCACCUAGGCGACGUUCCCUAGCUGGUCUGAGAGGAUGACCAGCCACCCUGGAACGGAGACACGGCCCAGACUCUUACGGGAGGCAGCGGUGGGGAACAUUGCACAAUGGGCGCAAGCCUGCUGCAGCCAUGCCGCGUGUAUGAGGAAGGCCUUCGGGUUGUAAAGUACUUUCAGCGGGGAGGCGUUACCCGCAGAAGAAGCACCGGCUAACUCCGUGCCAGCAGCCGCGGUAAUAC
rnacentral:rRNA from 1 species